rnacentral:lncRNA from 1 species
CCCUUUUUAAACAUAUGUUGCAUUACAUUUUCUUCUCUAAAUUACAACCAUAAAUUAAUGAUAUAACAAGCAAUUUCCCAGCAGUUAUUAACAAUUGAAGGCCUAUGAAAUAGUCCACCACAAUCAAAUAGAUAUGCUUGCACAACAAUAAAAACUCGGUGUAUCGCCACGCCCUCCCUUUUCAACCCCAAAAUAGCCACAAUCAAACUCCAACCAUGAGUCUUCAAACCUUUAAAGAAAGAAAUAUAUAUGAUACAACUCUAUAAUUGUCAACAUAACCAUAAUAACUCGAACUCACGAUUUUCGAUCACCAUUCUGUGAGUUCGUCCAACGAUUAUGUUUGGAAUCAUGUUUUUCUCCUCAUAAGCAAUAAUGGUUUAACAGGGCAGAACCUUGAUGAAGUUAUAGUAUUUUAACUUGUCUCCUCAAAUAACAAACAAUCUCCUCAAAUAUAAGACUUUGAAUCAAGAAGAAACCAUUUGAAAAUCUCAAUACAAUGAUAGAAGUAAUGUUAUACGCUAAAUAUUUCAAUACCCAUCUAUACUUCUUCUUCAGGUUUGAUGCCCUCGGAGACGUGAGGGUAACGUGGGACGUAAUUUUGAAAGGGUAUAAGAGUGUUUUCAAUGUGAUGAAUCGUAAAGGGAAAGGUAGGUUUGGUUGCGGAUUUACGGUUAGGAUUGAAGGUUGAAGAUGGAAGAGCAAUGGUGGAUAAGAUGAGUGCUGAAAUUUUGAGUAUAGUAAGUUAGAGAUAUUUAUUUGUUGAAGAUGCUCUUAGAUAUUUGCAACAUUUUCUUUUACAUUUUUUGAUAGUGUAAUUAUUGUGGAUUAGUGGUGUAAUUAAUUAGGAAC